rnacentral:rRNA from 1 species
UGGGAACCUUCCCUAUGGUUCGGAAUAGCUCAGGGAAACUUGGGGUAAUACCGGAUAAGCCCUUACGGGGAAAGAUUUAUCGCCAUUGGAUGGGCCCGCGUCGGAUUAGCUAGUUGGUGAGGUAACGGCUCACCAAGGCGACGAUCCGUAGCUGGUCUGAGAGGAUGAUCAGCCACACUGGGACUGAGACACAGCCCAGACUCCUACGGGAGGCAG